rnacentral:lncRNA from 1 species
GGCAAUGGUGACCGUCGCCUCUGGUAGGUGAAAAAUCUUUAAAGAACUCCUUUUGAAACCUUUCAAUGCGUAGAACGUGAUUCUAGGGUCAAAACCCCUAAACAAAAUCAGACCUCCAAAAAUGAGGAUAAAACCCUUCGGUUUCUUUCUCGUCCAAUGAGACCCUCGAUGAACCUUAAGGGGUUCAAAAACCUUUUGAAUCGGGGAGGCCACCACGUCGACGGUGAGACAAAACGUUAGGUAAAUAUCUAAACUUUUUGUUUUAUUUUUUGGUUUUUCUUUUUGUGAAAAUAAUAAAAAAUCGAAAUAAAUAGACUACCUUUCUUUUUGAAAUUUCUUUGUUUUUUUUUUUUUUGUAUUUGAUUUCUCCUCCUUAUUUUGUUACAAUGAUUUUGGUUUUUAUAAUUGAAAUACACUACAAAAUAUCAAUUUUUUUUUGCUUUUCUUUUCCUGUUUCUGCUUUACAUUUUUGUUAUCUAUUUUUGUUCUUUCUUUUUUGCAGGUGUUCGUGGCAAGGUCAAAGGCGUUGGGGAGCCACGCCUUGCCAUUUUGGUGAAAGGAGG